UAUCAAUAAGCGGAGGAAAAGAAACCAACAGGGAUUGCCCCAGUAACGGCGAGUGAAGCGGCAACAGCUCAAAUUUGAAAUCUGGCCCCUAGGGCCCGAGUUGUAAUUUGCAGAGGAUGCUUUUGGCGAGGUGCCUUCCGAGUUCCCUGGAACGGGACGCCAUAGAGGGUGAGAGCCCCGUCUGGUUGGAUACCGAGCCUCUGUAAAGCUCCUUCGACGAGUCGAGUAGUUUGGGAAUGCUGCUCUAAAUGGGAGGUAUAUGUCUUCUAAAGCUAAAUACCGGCCAGAGACCGAUAGCGCACAAGUAGAGUGAUCGAAAGAUGAAAAGCACUUUGAAAAGAGGGUUAAAUAGUACGUGAAAUUGUUGAAAGGGAAGCGCUUAUGACCAGACUUGGACCCGGUGAAUCAUCCAGCGUUCUCGCUGGUGCACUUUGCCGGGCUCAGGCCAGCAUCAGUUUGUCUCGGGGGAUAAAGGCUUAGGGAAUGUGGCUCCUCCGGGAGUGUUAUAGCCCUUUGCACAAUACCCUGGGGCGGACUGAGGUUCGCGCAUCUGCAAGGAUGCUGGCGUAAUGGUCAUCAGCGACCCGUCUUGAAACACGGACCAAGGAGUCGUCUUCGUAUGCGAGUGUUCGGGUGUAAAACCCCUACGCGUAAUGAAAGUGAACGCAGGUGAGAGCUUCGGCGCAUCAUCGACCGAUCCUGAUGUUCUCGGAUGGAUUUGAGUAAGAGCAUACGGGGCCGGACCCGAAAGAAGGUGAACUAUGCCUGUAUAGGGUGAAGCCAGAGGAAACUCUGGUGGAGGCUCGCAGCGGUUCUGACGUGCAAAUCGAUCGUCAAAUAUGGGCAUGGGGGCGAAAGACUAA
rnacentral:rRNA from 1 species